CAGGUAGGGAAUCUUCCACAAUGGGCGAAAGCCUGAUGGAGCAACGCCGCGUGUGUGAUGAAGGGUUUCGGCUCGUAAAACACUGUUGUAAGAGAAGAAUGACAUUGAGAGUAACUGUUCAAUGUGUGACGGUAUCUUACCAGAAAGGAACGGCUAAAUACGUGCCGG
rnacentral:rRNA from 1 species